GAAACAUCUCACUGGAAUUGGGAGUUGAAGAAAAUUGAAUUAGAUCAAGUUCCCACUUGGCCUAGUUCUGCAGACUCCAGUACUAUUGGCUCAAACAGUAGCACUCAGCUCUCUAAUGGCGUGAUUAGCUCAAGAUCGUCCAAUUUUGAAGUUGGACAGUGUAGCACAAAUCAACUUCCUUGUGCUAACAACAAUGUAGAUCAGUCUUCCAUUUCUGGUCUAACAAAAAAGGCAGUAGCACAAAAAGGCAGAUUGCAGGAAGAAGAGCCACUAGUUCAAAAGACUAGAUCACUUUCUGAAAUUUAUGAGCAAUGUUGUCUUGCUAUGGAGGAACCUUCAAGCUUUGAAGAAGCUAUUAAACAGGAAGAAUGGAAAGUUGCAAUGAAGGAGGAGAUGAAGAUGAUUGCCAAGAAUCAAACUUGGGAAUUGGUUGAUAGACCAAGUGAGAAGAAAGCUAUUGGAGUAAAAUGGGUGUAUCGUCUCAAGCUAAAUCCAGAUGGAUCAAUUAACAAGCACAAGGCCAGACUUGUGGUGAAGGGUUAUUCUCAACAACCCGGUAUUGAUUUUGGAGACACUUUUGCUCCAGUUGCGAGACAUGAGACUAUUAGGCUUCUUUGGGCAUUAGCAGCUCAAAAACAAUGGGAAAUCUAUCAUAUGGAUGUCAAAUCGGCAUUCCUAAAUGGUGAACUUGAAGAGGAGCUGUAUGUAGAACAACCUGAAGGUUUCAAAGUUCCCAGCAUGGAAGAUAAGGUGUACAAGCUUCAUAAGGCUUUGUAUGGUCUUAAGCAAGCUCCAAGAGCGUGGAACAUCAAACUAGAUUCUUACUUAGCUCAUUGUGGCUUUGUGAAGAGUGAAAAUGAGCCAACUUUGUAUGUAAAAAAUACUGAAAAUGGUGAUUUGCUAAUUGUCUCUAUUUAUGUUGAUGACUUGUUAGUUACAGGAACUAGCUCAAGUCUGAUUGAUCAAUUCAAAAAGGAGAUGCAACAAAUGUUUGAGAUGACAGAUCUUGGUCUAAUGACAUAUUUUCUUGGGAUGGAAAUUUGCCAAUCCUCACAAGGCAUUUUCAUUUCCCAAAGGAAGUAUGCUCAAAAUUUAUUGAAGAAGUUCAAGAUGGAGAAUUGCAAGGCUGUUAGCACUCCAUUAGCUCAAAAUCAGAAGCUGUCUAGAACAGAAAAAGGAGAAGAAGUUGACUUAAGCUACUACCGAAGUCUAAUUGGUAGUUUACUCUACUUGACUGCCACUAGACCAGAUAUGUUAUUUGCAACAAGUGUGCUAUCAAGGUUUAUGCAAGCACCAGUUCAAAAUCAUCUAGUUGCAGCAAAGAGAGUUCUUCGUUAUGUCAAAGGUACUAUGGACUAUGGUAUCUCUUUCACACAAGUUCAAGAUGGAAAGUUGUGUGGAUAUGUGGAUAGUGACUGGGCUGGAUGUCUAGAUGAUAUGAAGAGCACCACAGGCUAUUUUUUCUCUUUUGGAUCGGGAGUUUUUUCAUGGAUUUCAAGAAAGCAAGAUGUGGUAGCUCAAUCUACAGCUGAAGCAGAGUAUAUGGCUGCUGCAGCUGCUGCUAAUCAAGCUGUCUGGCUUAGAAAAGUUCUUUUAGAUCUAAAACAGACAAGAUCUCUUGAGCUACAACAGAACAAGGCUAAUCAGCAGCAAUUAGCUCAAGACCAGUUUCUUGAUCCAACAGUGAUCAAGGUGGACAAUCAAUCAGCUAUUCUAAUAGCCAAGAAUCCAGUUCAGCAUGGUAGAACCAAGCAUAUUCAGGUUAAGUAUCAUGCAAUUCGACAAGCAGAAAAAGAUGGGGAAAUUUCUCUUGUCCAUUGUAGUUCAAAUGAUCAACUAGCUGAUAUUUUGACCAAGUCCUUGGGAAAAGCAAAGUUUGAAGAAUUAAGAGAGAAGAUUGGGGUUAUCAAGAAAACUUAUUAAGGAGGAGUGUUGAAGUUAAUAAGUUUCUUAUAUUUUGUGUUUACUAUUUUUAGUAGUAUUUAAAAUGGUCAAUCUAGGAAUAUGGGUUGCUUUAUGUGGGUAGUUUUUCUAAGUGACUUUUAAGUAUUUCAAUGCAAUAUUCUGUAUCUAUAUAAGCCCUCAUUAUCAAUGAAUUAAGAUAUGAGAACACACAUAUGAAAGUGUGUCUUUUGGGCUCCAUUUCUAGUUCUGUGCUAAUUCACAGUUCUUGAGUUAAUAUUCCAGACUUGUUCUAUUCUGGAAUUGUUCUAUUUCAUCUAUUUUCUAACACUUUUUAACCAUGACUUUGGCUUUUAGGUACGAGGCACCGUUCAUUCAAAACAUUGUCAAGCUCGUUGCGAAUAAAUUGGAUCGCAAGCUUCUGCAUGUGGGUUCCUACUUAACAGGAAUAGAUGAUUAUGUAGGCCGGAUUAAUCAGUGGUUGCAAGAUGAGUCGACAAAUGUUAGGAUAUUGGUACUUUACGGGAUUGGUGGGGUUGGAAAGACCACCAUUGCAAAGACUGUUUAUAACCAGAACUCUGACAAGUUUGAAAGGAGCUGCUUUCUUGCGGACGUUGCUGAAACAUCAGAACAGCCAAAAGGUAUGAAUAGCUUACAAGAACAACUUCUUUCAGAUAUCCACAAGCGGGAAUCAGUAAAGAUAUAUAAUGUAGAUGAGGGAGUUAUGAAGAUCAAGGAUGCUAUGUGUUGCAGGAAAGUUAUCAUUAUUCUUGAUAAUGUGGAUAAUUCAGAACAAUUCAAAUCCAUUAUUGGUGAGCAAGAGUGGCUGUCGUCGGGAAGUAAAAUCAUCGUCACAACUCGAUUGAAGUGUUUGUUAAGUGAAGGUUGUUGGAAACUUCACAUUGAGCCAUUGAGUGUUAAAAAGUCACAUAAACUCUUCGCCUUGCAUGCCUUUGGACGAGAAGAUUCUCCUGAAAAUUUCGAUGAGCACUCUGAACGUGUAGUGAGCCUUUGUGAUGGUCUUCCAUUAGCUCUUUGUGUUUUAGGCUCCUUUCUUCGUCGCAGAAGUAUAGAUGAAUGGAAAAGUGAGAUUAAGGAACUGCAAGAAAUUCCUGAUAGUCGAAUUCAAAAGAUUCUCAGAAAAAGCUUUGAUUCUCUACAUAAUGAUCGUCAUCGAAGCAUAUUUCUUCACAUAGUUUUUUUCUUCAUUGGGUGGGAUAAAGAUGUUGUAGUUAAAAUUUUAGAGGGCUGUGGCUUCGAAGCAAUAAUUGGAGUUCAACAUCUCUUGGAUAGAUGUCUCAUUGAAAUCAAUGAAAGAAACAACCUAGCGAUGCAUCAGUUGGUUAGAGACAUGGGUAGGGAAGUUGUUCGCCAGGAAUCUCCUGAUGAACCGGGGAAGCGCAGUAGAAUAUGUAAUCAUAAAGAGGUAUUUAGGGUGCUGACAGAAAAAACCGGUACCGAGACAAUUAGGGGCCUCAUUCUUGACAUGCAUUUGUUAAGAGAAGAGAAACAUGUCGGCCCAAUUUCAAAUUAUGGAAAUUACAGUCAUGAAAAUUCGGUGGAGGAAUCAGUGCUUGGUUGUGAAGAUAAUCGUUCAAUGCAUAAUCGUCUUGGUGGCAUCGUUUGGCAGCGGAUUGUGAAUUGUAUCCCAAAAACCUCAUCUACCUCCGCAGAUGUGAUAAAAACAGAGGCAUUUGCAAACAUGCGCCAAUUAAAUGUGCUCCUGCUCGAUGAUGUUAAGCUUGAUGGAGGAUAUGAAGAUUUUCCAAAACACUUGGUGUGCCUGCGUUGGCUCAGAUUCCCUUUGAACUCUAUGCCAACGUGUUUAAAUGUGGAGAAACUUGUUGUUCUUGAUAUGCGGUAUAGCAGGCUAAAACAUGCUUGGCAGGGAAAGUCCUUUCCAUGCUUGAAGAUCCUUGACCUAAGUCACUCUCAUUUACUCACUACAACCCCUGACUUCACGGGACUACCUGGUCUUGAGAGUUUGCUGCUUAAAGAUUGUAUAAACUUAGUCAAGAUUGACGAUUCUAUUGCAGUCCUAAGGGCACUUGUCUUGUUAAAUCUUGAAGGCUGCGUAAAACUCAAGGAGCUUCCAAAGACAAUUUCUGAUUUGAAAUCACUUGAAGAACUAUAUUUGACUGGUUGCUCAGAACUUAAAGUGCUACCCAAAGUGCUGGCUCAGAUGGAAUCCUUGAAGGUGUUUUUUGCUGGUGGAAUUACCUUGAAUGAAUUAAGCUUUGGCUCGAGAGAUGUAAGGGGGGCUUGGUCUUGGUUAUCAGGCAGAGAAGGUCCAGAAUCCACUAUGUUUUCAUCUGCUUUUCUUCCACGUUCUUUGACCCAUUUAAUCCUUACAAACUGCAAUUUAUCAGAUGGUAAAUUUAUCACGGAUCUUCAUUUGCCCUCUUUGAGAUAUUUAGUUCUGCGUGAUAACCCACUUAAUACUAUAUCGGCUGAAAUUCCUGGGCUCCCUUCACUCGUGUAUCUUGAUAUAACGCAGUGCAACAACUUCAACGUUAUUAUAAAGGUUCCUACGAGUAUAGAGGAACGGAAUUUGAUAGAGCGGUCAGUUACACGUCUGUUGGACAUGGUGCGUUUUAGGUUGGAGGACAUCUCCAGUGGCAGUGAAAACCGGUUCUCGGCAUCGAUCCUUCAAAAUGUUGUGCAGCUUGUUCAAUCGGAUUGCCCGCAUCUCCGGGGGUGCUUCAUUGUCAUGAACAAUAAUGUUUGGUGCCGAUUAGAAUGUGUGGGGGAUGGCCUUGGGCCACGUGUAAUACUACAGGAGA
rnacentral:misc_RNA from 1 species